rnacentral:rRNA from 1 species
UACGUAGGGGGCAAGCGUUGUCCGGAUUUAUUGGGCGUAAAGAGCGUGUAGGCGGCUAGGUAGGUCCGUUGUGAAAACUCGAGGCUCAACCUCGAGACGCCGGUGGAAACCAUCUAGCUAGAGUCCGGAAGAGGAGAGUGGAAUUCCUGGUGUAGCGGUGAAAUGACGCAGAUAUCAGGAAGAACACCCGUGGCGAAGGCGGCUCUCUGGUACGUGACUGACGCUGAGACGCGAAAGCUAGGGGAGCGAACGGG